UCGCGGGUGACUGCGAAUCUGAAGGAAGCCCGAGGCAAAAUGCUGGCCUGACGAACAGGAAGCGGAUGAGGCGGCGCAGCGGGGUAAGACGGCCACAAUCGUCAAAGCCCAAUACUUGCACGGAUCGCUGUGACGUAUAUCCGCAUAACCUGAACCGCCGUAUAC
rnacentral:ncRNA from 1 species